AGGGGACAUAAUUUAUUUGGUAGAAUGCUGACCUUGCAUGUUAGAAGGCUCGGUUCGAAUCCGAGUGUCUCCA
rnacentral:tRNA from 1 species